rnacentral:rRNA from 1 species
UACGUAGGGAGCAAGCGUUGUCCGGAUUUAUUGGGCGUAAAGAGCUCGUAGGCGGUUUAGAAAGUCAGGUGUGAAAACUCUGGGCUCAACCCAGAGACGCCACUUGAUACUUCUAUGACUUGAGUUCGGUAGGGGACCAUGGAAUUCCUGGUGUAGCGGUGAAAUGCGCAGAUAUCAGGAGGAACACCGAUGGCGAAGGCAGUGGUCUGGGCCGAUACUGACGCUGAGGAGCGAAAGCGUGGGGAGCGAACAGG